CAGCAGCUUAAAAAGUGCAUUUACUCCUCACAUUGUCUUUUUUUUCUUUUCCCAAAAUGAAGGAAAUUUCUAAAAAACCAGAGAGGCAAAGGUAGAUCGUGCGGUGGGUUUUGCUUUUGAGAACUGCCCGCGUUGUGCCUGGAGUGUCUUCCGGGGCCUUUGGUGUCAAAGGGCGCGAGCAGGGUAGUUCAGGGGCUGGGUGUGAGCUCCCGCCGCGGGACCACACAGGUGAAGGGCCGAGGUCAGAGGAGAGGCGCGCCGUGGUCACCGUGGCAACCCCCACUUCGUACAGGACGACACAGCCGGGAGAUGCAGGGCAGAGAAUGGCACCUACAACGUCUUUUACUGACCACUGUGGACACCAUAGCCAGGAAGCACACUGGGCCAGCGGCAGGGGAGGAGAGGUACGGGGCUCAUCUUACGAAACAGCCGUGAGGUUUGACACUGCACGUGCCUCGCCGUCCCAUCUUGUCAAGGAAAAGCAUCGCUGUCGAAGUGGAAGCUCAGGAAAACAAAUAAACAAGGAAACUCUGGGGAUGGAGGAGUAAAGCUAAGACGUUUCAUGGAGCCUCAGCUGUUAUUUUUUCUCCCUGGAUAAAUAUUUGUCUGUCUGUGUUGGGGUUACACCUACAGACACUGAGCGAGGAGACAGUAGGAGUUUGUUUUCAGCCUUUUAAUCUUUUUUUUCCCUCCCUCCCUCUCGCUCUCCUUUUCUUUCCAAAGUUUUUAAUAUCAAAGUGCAGUCCCUGACAGAGCGAGCGCUCUGACAAGAGCGCUUUUGUUGAAGCGGCUCGACCUGCCCAGCAGUGACAGGACCCAUCAGCCCGCUCUCUGUCAAAGGAGAGUCUGAAGAUAAAAAAAAAGGAAUGAGAGGAGGGAGAGAAAGGUGGGGUGGAAA